UUGCUGACUAAAAUAUUGAGAAUAUAUAUGGCUUACGAAUCUGUCUAUACUAAAGGUGAAUGAUAUUGGAAAGUUUUAUAGAGACAAGGGUGUAGCUGUUGACGUUAUCGACUUCUAUACAGGUGAACCACCCGAAUAUUCUUUGUCUCCGUUCCAAUAUGGAAGAAGGGAGCUUAUGGCGCUCAUUGAAAGCUGCAAUGGUGAUGACAAUGACAACAACCAUGUUGGAUCAACACGUUCUAUUUGUGAUGCCCUAUCUGAGUCCCCUUUAUAAUUAAAACUAACUCCCUGUCAGUCCGAGGAACAGAUGAUGAAUGUUGAUGUUAAAAAGAGAGCUGCUGGAGUAGAAAUGCACUGUUAAUUGCUCUGCUGAAUUGGUUGUGUUUGUGUGUUCAGCAGAUCAUAAUAUGUGAAUGACUUAUUAUUACAGUUAAGCAGCAAUAAAGGAACCUUAUCCCA